CCCCUCUCAGGAUGGCACCUGGAGAGUUUCCUGUAUUCUACUAGUCUCGGCUGUUGGAGGGAGAGUCAAGCAGAGGCAUAGCCAUUCCGUUCCUAGCUUGGCCAGUGGCUAGCGAGUGUUAGGCAAUCUGCUACAAGU